GAACGCUGGCGGCAGGCCUAACACAUGCAAGUCGAACGGUAACAGGAAGCAGCUUGCUGCUUCGCUGACGAGUGGCGGACGGUGAGUAAUGUCUGGGAAGCUGCCUGAUGGAGGGGAUAACUUACUGGAGACGGUAGCUAAUACCGCAUAAUGUCGCAAGACCAAAGAGGGGGACCUUCGGGCCUCUUGCCAUCGGAUGUGCCCAGAUGGGAUUAGCUUGUUGGUGGGGUAACGGCUCACCAAGGCGACGAUCCCUAGCUGGUCUGAGAGGAUGACCAGCCACACUGGAACUGAGACACGGUCCAGACUCCUACGGGAGGCAGCAGUGGGGAAUAUUGCACAAUGGGCGCAAGCCUGAUGCAGCCAUGCCGCGUGUAUGAAGAAGGCCUUCGGGUUGUAAAGUACUUUCAGCGGGGAGGAAGGGAGUAAAGUUAAUACCUUUGCUCAUUGACGUUACCCGCAGAAGAAGCACCGGCUAACUCCGUG
rnacentral:rRNA from 1 species